ensembl:lncRNA
CCCAAUCUUCCACUAAGGCAUUUGCAAGUUCUCAAUCGCUUCUGGGGGACACACGGUUACAUGUUGUUUUCCACUGUAAGGACGAUCAGCUGUCCUUCCUGUCUCCCUGUAGCACUGUCUUAGGCGUCUUACAUUACAGACAUUGCAGUUUAUUGCUCUGGACACAUCUGCAGUCCUCAUGUCUCCCUACAGCAGGUCUAUGGCAUGUUCACGCAGAGCCACACGGGGAGGAGGCACGGCCAACACAUUAAUCACUGACUAGGACUUGUCGACGGGACGUGUCGAGUUUCUGGUGCUCCAUUACAGAGUUAACACUGAGGAUCUACAGAGAUUAGAAACGUGGCACCAUGCAAUCUGUUACGUUUCUCACCGUGACCAUUCUGCUCACGGUCAAUGCAGGUGCAGAUCAGAUGACACUGAGCACUCUACAGUCGAUGAAUGUAGUGUGUGGUGGGACCGUCAAACUGCCAUGCAGUAUCGACAAG